AGAUAGUAAGUUAAAAUCUAUUUAAUUUUGACAGCAUUACAUCUUAUUAGAGGAACCUGUCCUCUAAUCGACAACCCACGAUAACCUUUACUUUAAAUAUAAAUUUAUAUAUCGCCAUCUAAAGAACUAAUUUCAAAAUUUAUUCAAGAUAAAAGAUAAAAAGUUAGGUCAAGGUGUAGUUCAUAUUAAAGACUGAGAUGUGUUACAAUAAAAUCUAUUUAAGGAAUAAAAAUAAAUCUCUUUUAAGAAAAAGAAUUUAAAAGUAAUUAAAUAUUAAUAAUACUUAAUGAAUAAGAUUUAAAAAUGUGU
rnacentral:rRNA from 1 species